GACAGAGGGUGCAAACGUUUGUUCGGAAUUACUGGGCGUAAAGCGCGUGUAGGCGGCUAAGUAAGUCGGGCGUGAAAUCCCACGGCUCAACCGUGGAAGUGCACUCGAAACUGCAUAGCUAGAGUCCUGGAGAGGAAGGUGGAAUGCUUGGUGUAGAGGUGAAAUUCGUAGAUAUCAAGCGGAACACCGGUGGCGAAGGCGGCCUUCUGGACAGUGACUGACGCUGAGACGGCGAAAGCGUGGGGAGCAAACAGG
rnacentral:rRNA from 1 species